AGAACCUGAAACCGUGUGCUUACAAGUAGUCAGAGCCCGUUAAUGGGUGAUGGCGUGCCUUUUGUAGAAUGAACCGGCGAGUUACGAUUUGAUGCAAGGUUAAGCAGUAAAUGUGGAGCCGUAGCGAAAGCGAGUCUGAAUAGGGCGUUUAGUAUUUGGUCGUAGACCCGAAACCAGGUGAUCUACCCUUGGUCAGGUUGAAGUUCAGGUAACACUGAAUGGAGGACCGAACCGACUUACGUUGAAAAGUGAGCGGAUGAACUGAGGGUAGCGGAGAAAUUCCAAUCGAACCUGGAGAUAGCUGGUUCUCUCCGAAAUAGCUUUAGGGCUAGCCUCAAGUGAUGAUUAUUGGAGGUAGAGCACUGUUUGGACGAGGGGCCCCUCUCGGGUUACCGAAUUCAGACAAACUCCGAAUGCCAAUUAAUUUAACUUGGGAGUCAGAACAUGGGUGAUAAGGUCCGUGUUCGAAAGGGAAACAGCCCAGACCACCAGCUAAGGUCCCAAAAUAUAUGUUAAGUGGAAAAGGAUGUGGCGUUGCCCAGACAACUAGGAUGUUGGCUUAGAAGCAGCCAUCAUUUAAAGAGUGCGUAAUAGCUCACUAGUCGAGUGA
rnacentral:rRNA from 1 species